rnacentral:rRNA from 1 species
AACGCUAGCUACAGGCUUAACACAUGCAAGUCGAGGGGCAGCAUGGUCUUAGCUUGCUAAGGCCGAUGGCGACCGGCGCACGGGUGAGUAACACGUAUCCAACCUGCCGUCUACUCUUGGACAGCCUUCUGAAAGGAAGAUUAAUACAAGAUGGCAUCAUGAGUCCGCAUGUUCACAUGAUUAAAGGUAUUCCGGUAGACGAUGGGGAUGCGUUCCAUUAGAUAGUAGGCGGGGUAACGGCCCACCUAGUCUUCGAUGGAUAGGGGUUCUGAGAGGAAGGUCCCCCACAUUGGAACUGAGACACGGUCCAAACUCCUACGGGAGGCAGCAGUGAGGAAUAUUGGUCAAUGGGCGAGAGCCUGAACCAGCCAAGUAGCGUGAAGGAUGACUGCCCUAUGGGUUGUAAACUUCUUUUAUAAAGGAAUAAAGUCGGGUAUGGAUACCCGUUUGCAUGUACUUUAUGAAUAAGGAUCGGCUAACUCCGUGCCAGCAGCCGCGGUAAUACGGAGGAUCCGAGCGUUAUCCGGAUUUAUUGGGUUUAAAGGGAGCGUAGAUGGAUGUUUAAGUCAGUUGUGAAAGUUUGCGGCUCAACCGUAAAAUUGCAGUUGAUACUGGAUAUCUUGAGUGCAGUUGAGGCAGGCGGAAUUCGUGGUGUAGCGGUGAAAUGCUUAGAUAUCACGAAGAACUCCGAUUGCGAAGGCAGCCUGCUAAGCUGCAACUGACAUUGAGGCUCGAAAGUGUGGGUAUCAAACAGGAUUAGAUACCCUGGUAGUCCACACGGUAAACGAUGAAUACUCGCUGUUUGCGAUAUACUGCAAGCGGCCAAGCGAAAGCGUUAAGUAUUCCACCUGGGGAGUACGCCGGCAACGGUGAAACUCAAAGGAAUUGACGGGGGCCCGCACAAGCGGAGGAACAUGUGGUUUAAUUCGAUGAUACGCGAGGAACCUUACCCGGGCUUAAAUUGCAGAUGAAUUACGGUGAAAGCCGUAAGCCGCAAGGCAUCUGUGAAGGUGCUGCAUGGUUGUCGUCAGCUCGUGCCGUGAGGUGUCGGCUUAAGUGCCAUAACGAGCGCAACCCUUGUUGUCAGUUACUAACAGGUUCCGCUGAGGACUCUGACAAGACUGCCAUCGUAAGAUGUGAGGAAGGUGGGGAUGACGUCAAAUCAGCACGGCCCUUACGUCCGGGGCUACACACGUGUUACAAUGGGGGGUACAGAGGGCCGCUACCACGCGAGUGGAUGCCAAUCCCCAAAACCUCUCUCAGUUCGGACUGGAGUCUGCAACCCGACUCCACGAAGCUGGAUUCGCUAGUAAUCGCGCAUCAGCCACGGCGCGGUGAAUACGUUCCCGGGCCUUGUACACACCGCCCGUCAAGCCAUGGGAGCCGGGGGUACCUGAAGUGCGUAACCGCGAGGAGCGCCCUAGGGUAAAACUGGUGACUGG